UACGUAGGUGGCAAGCGUUGUCCGGAUUUAUUGGGUUUAAAGGGUGCGUAGGUUGUAUUGUAAGUCAGUGGUGAAAUCCGGCAGCUUAACUGUCGAUGUGCCAUUGAUACUGCAGUACUUGAGUACAGACGAGGUAGGCGGAAUUGACGGUGUAGCGGUGAAAUGCUUAGAUAUCGUCAAGAACACCGAUAGCGAAGGCAGCUUACUAGACUGUAACUGACACUGAUGCACGAAAGUGUGGGGAUCAAACAGG
rnacentral:rRNA from 1 species